rnacentral:rRNA from 1 species
CCUACGGGGUGCAGCAGUGGGGGAUAUUGCACAAUGGGGGAAACCCUGAUGCAGCGACGCCGCGUGGGUGAAGAAGCGCCUCGGCGCGUAAAGCCCUGUCAGCAGGGAAGAAAAUGACGGUACCUGAAGAAGAAGCCCCGGCUAACUACGUGCCAGCAGCCGCGGUAAUACGUAGGGGGCAAGCGUUAUCCGGAUUUACUGGGUGUAAAGGGGGAGCAGACGGCGAUGCAAGCCAGGAGUGAAAGCCCGGGGCCCAAACCCGGGACUGCUCUUGGAACUGCGUGGCUAGAGUGCAGGAGGGGCAGGCGGAAUUCCUGGUGUAGCGGUGAAAUGCGUAGAUAUCAGGAGGAACACCGGUGGCGAAGGCGGCCUGCUGGACUGCAACUGACGUUGAGGCCCGAAAGCGUGGGGAGCAAACAGGAUUAGAUACCCCUGUAGUC